UAAGACGAAGGUGGCGAGCGUUACUCGGAUUUACUAGGCGUAAAGCGUGAGCAGGCGGUUCGGUCAGUCUGUUGUGAAAGCUCCCGGCUCAACUGGGAGAGGCCAAUGGAUACUACCGAGCUUGAAUACGGGAGAGGUGACUGGAAUUCCUGGUGUAGCGGUGAAAUGCGUAGAUAUCAGGAGGAACACCUAUGGCGAAAGCAGGUCACUGGACCGUUAUUGACGCUCAUUCACGAAAGCUGGGGGAUCAAACAGGAUUAGAUACCCUGGUAGUCCCAGCCAUAAACUAUGCUCACUAGGUGUGGGGGGUAUCGACCCCUUCCGCGCCGUCGCUAACGCAUUAAGUGAGCCGCCUGGGGAGUACGGCCGCAAGGUUG
rnacentral:rRNA from 1 species